GCAUUUUUGGUGUAACGGUAGCACACUCGCCGCAUAAUCCAGAGGUCCUGGUUCGAGUCUUGGAGAGGGCA
rnacentral:tRNA from 1 species